rnacentral:rRNA from 1 species
GACGAACGCUGGCGGCGUGCUUAACACAUGCAAGUCGAACGCUGAAGCUUGGUGCUUGCACUGGGUGGAUGAGUGGCGAACGGGUGAGUAAUACGUGAGUAACCUGCCCUUGACUCUGGGAUAAGCCUGGGAAACUGGGUCUAAUACUGGAUACGACAUGCCACUGCAUGGUGGUGUGUGGCAAGGGUUUUACUGGUUUUGGAUGGGCUCACGGCCUAUCAGCUUGUUGGUGGGGUAAUGGCCUACCAAGGCGACGACGGGUAGCCGGCCUGAGAGGGUGACCGGCGACAAGGGGACUGAGAGACGGACCAGACGCCAACGGGAGGCAGCAGUGGGGAACAUGGCACAGUGGGCGGAAGUCUGAGGAAGAGACGCCGGGUGAGGGAAGACGGUCUUCGGGGUGUAAAAAGCUUUCAGCAAGGAAGAAGCGGGAGUGACGGUACGUGAAGAAGAAGCGCCGGCUAACUACGUG